UUCGACAUGGAAAUGGAAACCAUAUCAACAUUCGCUAAGAAACUUUGGUGUGUCAAGAAACAACUUAUUCUUUUCCUCACUCCACUUAUUCUUCUCCCGCUACUUUUCGGGCUACCAGAAAAGGAGGGGAAAUGCCUGUACGUGGUGCUGCUGAUGGCUGUGUUCUGGUGCACAGAGGCUCUUCCCUUAGCUGUCACUGCCAUGCUACCUGUUUGCCUCUUUCCAACCAUGGGAAUUCUUCCAUCCAAAAAAGUCUGCCCCCAGUACUUUCUCGAUACCAAUUUUCUCUUUCUUAGUGGUCUUGUUAUGGCGUCAGCUAUUGAGGAAUGGGGUCUGCAUCGCAGAAUAGCUCUGAAAGUUCUUAAGAUUGUUGGAGUCAAACCAGCCUGGUUGAUUUUGGGAAUGAUGAUCACCUCUGCCUUCCUGUCCAUGUGGCUCAGUAACACCGCAACAACGGCCAUGAUGCUUCCCAUUGCUAACGCCAUCCUGGAGAGUCUCUUUGGAGACCUUGCCACUCUGAAGGAAAACUGUAAGGUGAAAGACGAGACAGAGGGUCAAGCACGAGUAAAGCUGCAUGCACUGCCCUCUGAAAAACAGAUCUUGUCUAUAGACGGACCUGAUCGGAUGGAGCGUUCAGAUGGGAGUACUGCAGAGGAGAUCAGGACAGAGUCAGAGUACCAGAUGAAGGUGUGGAAAGGCUUCCUGAUAUGUAUCCCGUACGCUGCCAGUAUCGGAGGGACUGCCACCCUGACAGGCACUGCACCAAACCUCAUCCUCAUUGGACAACUUAAGAGUUACUUCCCAGAGUGCGACUUGAUCAAUUUUGGCUCUUGGUUUGCAUUCGCAUUUCCUCUUAUGGUGUUCUUCCUCAUCUUGGGAUGGCUAUGGAUUUCUUUCCUCUACGGGGGCUUGAAUACACGAUUGUGUGUGAAGAAACAGGACGAAAGAGCACAAGCAGAGGCGAAGGCUGAGGCCGUAAUUGAUGAAGACUACAGAAAACUAGGCCCCAUAAAUUUUGCAGAAGGAGCCAUCGCAUUCUUUUUCAUUCUGUUUGCCGUUCUCCUGUUUACAAGAGAUCCUAAAUUUGUAACUGGAUGGUCCACGUUUUUCAACAAAGGGUAUGUGUCAGAUGCGACCACUGGAGUGAUCAUUGUGUCAAUCCUAUUCUUCUUCCCUUCCCAAAAACCCUCUCUUAGCUGGUGGUUUGAUUCUAGAGCACCAAAUACUCCAUAUGUUCCUCUACUAUCAUGGAAGAAAGCACAGGAAUGUGUCCCAUGGAAUAUCAUUCUGUUGCUGGGUGGAGGCUUUGCCAUGGCCAAGGGAUGUGAGUCAAGGGCUGUCUUGAUGCUCGGUCCCUGUGGUGUAGGAGUCAGGACUGGCGGCGUGGAUAGGAGCCUACCUCCAGCCUAUCGCUCAGGUCCCUCCUGCUGUGGCAGUCAUGUUUAUCACCGCUUUCCUGGCCUGCUUCACAGAGUUCGCCAGCAACACCGCCACCAUUAUCAUAUUCCUGCCCGUCAUCGCUGAACUGGCUAUGUUUGUCAAGGUGAAUCCUCUUUACUUCAUGAUACCUGCGACAACAGGAUGUUCAUUUGCCUUCAUGUUGCCAGUCUCCACCCCUCCCAACUCCAUUGCCUUUGCAUCUGGCCAUCUUCUGGUGAAGGACAUGGUGAAAACGGGCUUUGUGAUGAACAUUUUGGGCAUUUUAUCAGUUUCUCUGGCCAUGAACACGUGGGGUCGUGCCAUGUUCAGUUUGGAGACUUAUCCAGACUGGGCCCGUCCAGUCAACAUGUCCAGUACUGUCACAGAUAUACAACUCCCCUCCGUGCCACCUUUCAACCUUACUAGUUUGUGAUACACUGCAUACCGUAGAUCUGAAGCUUAUCCAAUACAAAGUAUUACACAGUAUUAUAUAGUAAAUACUAGAGCAGCAUUUCUGAAUAUGUACAAAAGUCAACUAUAGAUUUGGGGAGCAUUAGCAGUUACUUUAAGUUAUUUAGCCUAUGGUGUGAUGGCUAGACCAUGUUGCGAAUGUACUGUACACUUCUAGAUUCUUCCAUUUGCCUACUGUAUACUAUAUGAGUUUAGAUUUUUUUGUUGUUCAGGCUCUCCUUGUGCUCUACUUCCUCUGUCGUGUAGAUUAUACUAAGUUCUUUCAGCUAAUUUUCUUGCUUGUCACAUGCCACGAACCCUUGGUCUCCCAGAUGUGUCCAAUGUUUUGUCCUGGUUUGUUUUAGGUCCCCAUGCCAAGUUUCCAUUUGAAGUUAAUUUGUUUGGGCAGGGCAGGGGGUGACAGAAUAGACAGUGGUUGGUCUGUCUGUUGUUACAUUCUCUUCCACAGUUAUACAACAAGUCAUGUCAGACACCGUUUUUGUCCGGACACCGGUGAUGUCUGUGUCAUCAUUCUGUCGCUAUGCUUGCUGAAAUGCCUUGCAUCUUAGUGACCUCUGGUGUUCAGUGUGCCACUUUGCGAGUGUCUGUCCCAUUCGUCACUGUAACAUUCCCUAGAUAGUGUUUGUGAGGAUAAUCCUUAUUGAUUAGGGUGUUAGCAGUCUGCUUGAUGAUAAUAGACCCAAUCCAUUUCAUCACACUGAACGCUCAACCUCCAAGUCCGCCACCUACUAGUAAAUCACACUUGAACUUGAUCCUCCAUUGAUCUUUAGUUUGGAUAAUCUGUGACUGUCUUGAUGCACAACAGGAGUUUGUGAAUUAUUAAUGGAAAAAUACUUACCUAGCCCAUGGGGUCACAGGCUGCACAUGUUUUAACACAUUCUAAGUUACACACAGAAGGUCAUUUUUACUUUUCAUCAUGUCUUUAAAAUACAGAGAUCGUGCUUUUCUGAUCUUAUUUAAUUUGAAGUAAUCAUUUGAAAUGUGGUACGUGGAAAUCGAAUUAACAAUUUUCUACCGUAGUUUGUAUUUUGUGUAGUACGUUUAGGUUUUAUCAAUGCACAUUUUGGAGCUUUGUUAUUUUCUUAAUACUACUGUUGUUACCAAAUAAAACUCAACAGCAAAUGUG